rnacentral:rRNA from 1 species
AUUGAACGCUGGCGGCAUGCCUAACACAUGCAAGUCGAACGGAGAUAGGGGCAACCUUAUUUCAGUGGCGGACGGGUGAGGAAUGCGUCGGAAUCUGCCCUAUGGUGGGGAUAACACAGGGAAACUUGUGCUAAUACCGCAUAAUGUCGAGAGACCAAAGCAGGGGACCGCAAGGCCUUGCGCGAUAGGAUGAGCCGACGCCCGAUUAGCUUGUUGGUAGGGUAAUGGCCUACCAAGGCGACGAUCGGUAGCUGGUCUGAGAGGAUGAUCAGCCACACUGGGACUGAGACACGGGCCCAGACUCCUACGGGAGGCAGCAGGUGGGAAUAUGGACAAGUGGGCGCAAG